AGCAAGGUUAACCGAAUAGGGGAGCCGAAGGGAAACCGAGUCUUAACUGGGCGUUAAGUUGCAGGGUAUAGACCCGAAACCCGGUGAUCUAGCCAUGGGCAGGUUGAAGGUUGGGUAACACUAACUGGAGGACCGAACCGACUAAUGUUGAAAAAUUAGCGGAUGACUUGUGGCUGGGGGUGAAAGGCCAAUCAAACCGGGAGAUAGCUGGUUCUCCCCGAAAGCUAUUUAGGUAGCGCCUCGUGAAUUCAUCUCCGGGGGUAGAGCACUGUUUCGGCAAGGGGGUCAUCCCGACUUACCAACCCGAUGCAAACUGCGAAUACCGGAGAAUGUUAUCACGGGAGACACACGGCGGGUGCUAACGUCCGUCGUGAAGAGGGAAACAACCCAGACCGCCAGCUAAGGUCCCAAAGUCAUGGUUAAGUGGGAAACGAUGUGGGAAGGCCCAGACAGCCAGGAUGUUGGCUUAGAAGCAGCCAUCAUUUAAAGAAAGCGUAAUAGCUCACUGGUCGAGUCGGCCUGCGCGGAAGAUGUAACGGGGCUAAACCAUGCACCGAAGCUGCGGCAGCGACGCUUAUGCGUUGUUGGGUAGGGGAGCGUUCUGUAAGCCUGCGAAGGUGUGCUGUGAGGCAUGCUGGAGGUAUCAGAAGUGCGAAUGCUGACAUAAGUAACGAUAAAGCGGGUGAAAAGCCCGCUCGCCGGAAGACCAAGGGUUCCUGUCCAACGUUAAUCGGGGCAGGGUGAGUCGACCCCUAAGGCGAGGCCGAAAGGCGUAGUCGAUGGGAAACAGGUUAAUAUUCCUGUACUUGGUGUUACUGCGAAGGGGGGACGGAGAAGGCUAUGUUGGCCGGGCGACGGUUGUCCCGGUUUAAGCGUGUAGGCUGGUUUUCCAGGCAAAUCCGGAAAAUCAAGGCUGAGGCGUGAUGACGAGGCACUACGGUGCUGAAGCAACAAAUGCCCUGCUUCCAGGAAAAGCCUCUAAGCAUCAGGUAACAUCAAAUCGUACCCCAAACCGACACAGGUGGUCAGGUAGAGAAUACCAAGGCGCUUGAGAGAACUCGGGUGAAGGAACUAGGCAAAAUGGUGCCGUAACUUCGGGAGAAGGCACGCUGAUAUGUAGGUGAAGUCCCUCGCGGAUGGAGCUGAAAUCAGUCGAAGAUACCAGCUGGCUGCAACUGUUUAUUAAAAACACAGCACUGUGCAAACACGAAAGUGGACGUAUACGGUGUGACGCCUGCCCGGUGCCGGAAGGUUAAUUGAUGGGGUCAGCGCAAGCGAAGCUCUUGAUCGAAGCCCCGGUAAACGGCGGCCGUAACUAUAACGGUCCUAAGGUAGCGAAAUUCCUUGUCGGGUAAGUUCCGACCUGCACGAAUGGCGUAAUGAUGGCCAGGCUGUCUCCACCCGAGACUCAGUGAAAUUGAACUCGCUGUGAAGAUGCAGUGUACCCGCGGCAAGACGGAAAGACCCCGUGAACCUUUACUAUAGCUUGACACUGAACAUUGAGCCUUGAUGUGUAGGAUAGGUGGGAGGCUUUGAAGUGUGGACGCCAGUCUGCAUGGAGCCGACCUUGAAAUACCACCCUUUAAUGUUUGAUGUUCUAACGUUGACCCGUGAUCCGGGUUGCGGACAGUGUCUGGUGGGUAGUUUGACUGGGGCGGUCUCCUCCUAAAGAGUAACGGAGGAGCACGAAGGUUGGCUAAUCCUGGUCGGACAUCAGGAGGUUAGUGCAAUGGCAUAAGCCAGCUUGACUGCGAGCGUGACGGCGCGAGCAGGUGCGAAAGCAGGUCAUAGUGAUCCGGUGGUUCUGAAUGGAAGGGCCAUCGCUCAACGGAUAAAAGGUACUCCGGGGAUAACAGGCUGAUACCGCCCAAGAGUUCAUAUCGACGGCGGUGUUUGGCACCUCGAUGUCGGCUCAUCACAUCCUGGGGCUGAAGUAGGUCCCAAGGGUAUGGCUGUUCGCCAUUUAAAGUGGUACGCGAGCUGGGUUUAGAACGUCGUGAGACAGUUCGGUCCCUAUCUGCCGUGGGCGCUGGAGAACUGAGGGGGGCUGCUCCUAGUACGAGAGGACCGGAGUGGACGCAUCACUGGUGUUCGGGUUGUCAUGCCAAUGGCACUGCCCGGUAGCUAAAUGCGGAAGAGAUAAGUGCUGAAAGCAUCUAAGCACGAAACUUGCCCCGAGAUGAGUUCUCCCUGACUCCUUGAGAGUCCUGAAGGAACGUUGAAGACGACGACGUUGAUAGGCCGGGUGUGUAAGCGCAGCGAUGCGUUGAGCUAACCGGUACUAAUGAACCGUGAGGCUUAACC
rnacentral:rRNA from 1 species